CAGCAGCAGCCGCGGUAAUACGAAGGGGGCUAGCGUUGCUCGGAAUGACUGGGCGUAAAGGGCGCGUAGGCGGUUCGUACAGUCGGAUGUGAAAUUCCUGGGCUUAACCUGGGGGCUGCAUUCGAUACGUGCGGGCUUGAGUGUGGAAGAGGGUUGUGGAAUUCCCAGUGUAGAGGUGAAGUUCGUAGAUAUUGGGAAGAACACCGGUGGCGAAGGCGGCAACCUGGUCCAUGACUGACGCUGAGGCGCGAAAGCGUGGGGAGCAAACAGGAUUAGAUACCCCCGUAGUCCCUGUCUCUUAUAC
rnacentral:rRNA from 1 species